rnacentral:lncRNA from 10 species
GCUGACAACCACAUCCCUUAAAGAAAGGCCCUGUGCCAUUUCCAGAGCUUUUCUUUUUUCUCGUCAUGGUGUUGGCUUUUAAUGGAAACCAAGAAACUUGAUGCACCGAGCCCAAGAAACAGAAACAGAAGCAGAAGCAGAAAGCUUCAGUGGAAAACAGCUAUCCAGUUAAAGCAUCAUCACAUACAACUGAGAUGAUCUCGGGCACCCCUGCACCCCAGCCUCCUCAGCAGGGUGGGAGAGUGAUGCCCACACUGCUCACCUUGCAAGAAGAAAUGACCAUCGAGCCAACCAGUUCUUGCUGUGUAACCAAGGGUGCUGAGGCCCAGCGGCUGGGCCAGCUGGCUGGGAGUUGCUGAUGGA